rnacentral:rRNA from 1 species
CAGCCGCCGCGGUAAUACGAAGGGGGCUAGCGUUGUUCGGAUUUACUGGGCGUAGAGCGCACGUAGGCGGACCGAUCAGUCAGGGGUGAAAUCCCAGAGCUCAACUCUGGAACUGCCUUUGAUACUGUCGAUCUGGAGUAUGGAAGAGGUGAGUGGAAUUCCGAGUGUAGAGGUGAAAUUCGUAGAUAUUCGGAGGAACACCAGUGGCGAAGGCGGCUCACUGGUCCAUUACUGACGCUGAGGCACGAAAGCGUGGGGAGCAAACAGGAUUAGAGACCCCGGUAGUCCCUGUCUCUUAUAC